rnacentral:rRNA from 2 species
UGGGGAUUAGUGGCGAACGGGUGAGUAACACGUGGGCAAUCUGCCCUGCACUCUGGGACAAGCCCUGGAAACGGGGUCUAAUACCGGAUACUGACCCGCUUGGGCAUCCAAGCGGUUCGAAAGCUCCGGCGGUGCAGGAUGAGCCCGCGGCCUAUCAGCUUGUUGGUGAGGUAAUGGCUCACCAAGGCGACGACGGGUAGCCGGCCUGAGAGGGCGACCGGCCACACUGGGACUGAGACACGGCCCAGACUCCUACGGGAGGCAGCAGUGGGGAAUAUUGCACAAUGGGCGAAAGCCUGAUGCAGCGACGCCGCGUGAGGGAUGACGGCCUUCGGGUUGUAAACCUCUUUCAGCAGGGAAGAAGCGAAAGUGACGGUACCUGCAGAAGAAGCGCCGGCUAACUACGUGCCAGCAGCCGCGGUAAUACGUAGGGCGCGAGCGUUGUCCGGAAUUAUUGGGCGUAAAGAGCUCGUAGGCGGCUUGUCACGUCGGUUGUGAAAGCCCGGGGCUUAACCCCGGGUCUGCAGUCGAUACGGGCAGGCUAGAGUUCGGUAGGGGAGAUCGGAAUUCCUGGUGUAGCGGUGAAAUGCGCAGAUAUCAGGAGGAACACCGGUGGCGAAGGCGGAUCUCUGGGCCGAUACUGACGCUGAGGAGCGAAAGCGUGGGGAGCGAACAGGAUUAGAUACCCUGGUAGUCCACGCCGUAAACGGUGGGCACUAGGUGUGGGCGACAUUCCACGUCGUCCGUGCCGCAGCUAACGCAUUAAGUGCCCCGCCUGGGGAGUACGGCAA